AACGAACGCUGGCGGUAUGCCUAACACAUGCAAGUCGCACGAGAAAGUACUUCGGUAUGAGUAGAGUGGCGCACGGGUGAGUAACACGUAGGUGACCUUCCGAAUAGUGGGGGAUAACUCGGAGAAGUCCGGGCUAAUACCGCGUAUGUACGACAAAUCUGAGAGUAGUCGUAGAAAGAAUGCCUCUACUUGUAAGCAUUCGCUAAUCGAUGGGCCUGCGGAGCAUUAGCUAGUUGGUGGGGUAAAGGCCCACCAAGGCGACGAUCUGUAGCGGGUCUGAGAGGAUGAUCCGCCACACUGGGACUGAGACACGGCCCAGACUCCUACGGGAGGCAGCAGUGGGGAAUUUUGGACAAUGGGCGCAAGCCUGAUCCAGCCAUGCCGCGUGCGGGACGAAGGCCUU
rnacentral:rRNA from 1 species